rnacentral:piRNA from 1 species
UUCCAUUUUCAGAUUUUUGUUCUGAGGAC